rnacentral:rRNA from 1 species
ACUCCUACGGGAGGCAGCAGUGGGGAAUAUUGCACAAUGGGCGCAAGCCUGAUGCAGCCAUGCCGCGUGUGUGAAGAAGGCCUUCGGGUUGUAAAGCACUUUCAGUUGUGAGGAAGGUGGUGUCGUUAAUAGCGGCAUCAUUUGACGUUAGCAACAGAAGAAGCACCGGCUAACUCCGUGCCAGCAGCCGCGGUAAUACGGAGGAUCCAAGCGUUAUCCGGAAUCAUUGGGUUUAAAGGGUCCGUAGGUGGACGAUUAAGUCAGAGGUGAAAUCUUGCAGCUCAACUGUAAAAUUGCCUUUGAUACUGGUUGUCUUGAGUUAUUAUGAAGUGGUUAGAAUAUGUAGUGUAGCGGUGAAAUGCAUAGAUAUUACAUAGAAUACCAAUUGCGAAGGCAGAUCACUAAUAAUAUACUGACACUGAUGGACGAAAGCGUGGGUAGCGAACAGGAUUAGAUACCCUGGUAGGCUCUGCU